AUUCUGGAACUUUCUUCGGUACUUUCCUGAGUUGGAUUUUAUUCUAACCCCCGUCAUUGAUUGAUUCCAAAGUUUUUUUUUUUUUUCUGUAGUUCAGAUACCAGUUAGAUGUGUUACCAAGGAGAUCUUAAAGAGCAAACUGCAUUUUCGAGAGCAGAGCUUUAAAAUUUAGUAUGUGAGUUCAACAGGUUACGUGUAAAUGGGAAUCAGCUGUCUUUGGAUUAAACACUACUACACAGUUUUUUUUAAGAAGAUUAAAAACGGAAGUGAAGCAAGGAUUCCAAACGCUCUUUCCAGAGCAGCCCAGCUGCUUUGCAACCUGGACUUGAGCCUCCUCCGGUUGGGUCAGUCUGGAAUCAGAGCCGCCUCCAGGGAUUGAGGGAUGCGUGCUCAAACUUUGGAACAAAUACCGAAUUUCCAACAUUCCAUCACUAAUAUUCCUCGACGCCACCACUGGGAAGGUUGUGUGCAGGAACGGGCUGCUGGUGAUCCGAGAUGACCCAGAAGGUCUGGAGUUCCCCUGGGGACCGAAACCCUUCAGGGAAGUCAUUGCAGGGCCCUUGCUUAGAAACAAUGGGCAGUCUCU
rnacentral:lncRNA from 1 species